rnacentral:rRNA from 1 species
AUCAACGCUGGCGGCGCGCCUAACACAUGCAAGUCGAACGAGAAAGCGGGGGCAAACCUCGCAAGUACAGUGGCGUACGGGUGAGUAACACGUGGAUCAUCUACCCCGAAGUGGGUGAUAACGCUGGGAAACCGGCGCAUAAUACCGCAUAUUCCCGAGAGGGGAAAGCAGCAAUGCGCUUCGGGAGGAGUCCGCGGCCGAUUAGCUUGUUGGCAGGGUAAAAGCCUACCAAGGCUGUGAUCGGUAGCCGGCCUGAGAGGGGCACACGGCCACACUGGCACUUGAAACACGGGCCAGACUCCUACGGGAGGGCAGCAGUGGGGAAUCUUGCACAAUGGGGGAAACCCUGAUGCAGCGACGCCGCGUGAGCGAUGAAGCCCUUCGGGGUGUAAAGCUCUUUCGGCAGUGAAGAUGAUGACUGUACCUGCAGAAGCAGCUGCGGCUAACUACGUGCCAGCAGCCGCGGUAAUACGUAGGCAGCAAGCGUUGUUCGGAGUUACUGGGCCGAAGUAAGGGUGUGUAGGCGGCCUGUUAAGUUCCGUGUGAAAUCUCCCGGCUCACCAGUGGAGGGUUGCGCGGAAAAACUGGCGGGGCUAGAGUGCGGGAUGGGAGAGUAGAAUUCCUGGGUGUAGCGGUGAAAUGCGUAGAUAUCAGGAGGAAUACCUGUGGUGUAGACGGCUCUCAUGGACCGUAACUGACGCUGAAACACGAAAGCGUGGGGUAGCAAACAGGAUUAGAUACCCUGGUAGUCCACGCCCUAAACGAUGCAUAUUUGGUGUGAGGUCAUUCAGUUGAUCUGUGCCGGAGCUAACGCGGUUAAAUAUGCCGCCUGGGGAGUACAAGUCGCAAGGCUGAAACUCAAAGGAAUUGACGGGGGCCCGCACAAGGCGGUUGGAGCAUGUGGUUCAAUUCGACGCAACGCGAAGAACCUUACCUGGGCUCGAACGGCUUCCCAACGAUCGUGGAAACACGGUUACUCCGCAAGGGGGUGGAGUCGAGGUGCUGCAUGACUGUCGUCAGCUCGUGUCGGGUGAGAUGUUGGGUUAAGUCCCGCAACGAGCGCAACCCUUGUCCUGUGUUGCCAUGCCGAAAGGCGGAACUCGCAGGAGACCGCCAGCGAUAAGCUGGAGGAAGGUGGGGAUGACGUCAAGUCCUCAUGGCCUUUAUGUCCAGGGCUACACACGUGCUACAAUGGCCGGUACAAAGCGUCGCUAAGUCGCAAGACGGAGCCAAUCGCAAAAAAACCGGUUCUCAGUUCGGAUUGCAGGCUGCAACUCGCCUGCAUGAAGCUGGAAUCGCUAGUAAUGGCAGAUCAGAACGCUGCCGUGAAUACGUUCCCGGGCCUUGUACACACGCCCGUCACAUCACGAAGUGGAUUGUACUAGAAGUCCGCGCGCCGACCCGCUAAGGGGGGCAGCGGCCCAAGGUAUGAUUCAUGAUUGGGGUG